AUGAGACCACCUUUAGUCGCCGUUUCUCGUCGCCGGCCGCCGAUUCCCUCCUUUGGCUCUCCCAGGUCAGGCCGUUGCUCGAGGUCCAGCCUCCGUCGCCGUCUUCGGCUCUCCCAAGUCAAGCUACCACCGCCGCGCUGCUCCUGCCCGAGGUCCAUGUCCGCAUGCGUGUGGUGUUGUGGCGAACGUGUGUGUGCCUCUGCGUGUGUGUGGUUGACCCAAUCAAGAUCAGCUGUGAGCAAAAAAAAAAAAGGAAAAGAGAAAAAAAAAGCUCUUGUCGGGGCUGGUCUUUCACCCUUGCUAUCCAGUGAUUUUCGACGGUGUUCCCUACGUUGA
rnacentral:rRNA from 1 species